UACGGAGGGUGCAAGCGUUGUCCGGGAUUACGGGGUGUAAAGGGUGCGCAGGCGGGGCAGCAAGUCAGAGGUGAAAGCCCACGGCUUAACCGUGGAAGUGCCUUUGAAACUGCUGUUCUUGAGUCCCGGAGAGGUCGUCGGAAUUCGUGGUGUAGCGGUGAAAUGCGUAGAUAUCACGAGGAACACCAGAGGCGAAAGCGGACGACUGGUCCAACACUGACGCUGAGGCGCGAAAGCGUGGGGAGCGAACAGG
rnacentral:rRNA from 1 species